rnacentral:rRNA from 1 species
UCGUAACAAGGUCUCCGUUGGUGAACCAGCGGAGGGAUCAUUACAGAGUUACCUAACUCCAAACCCAUGUGAACUUACCUAUGUUGCCUCGGCGGGGAAGCCUACCCGGUACCUACCCUGUAGCUACCCGGGAGCGAGCUACCCUGUAGCCCGCUGCAGGCCUACCCGCCGGCGGACACUUAAACUCUUGUUUUUUAGUGAUUAUCUGAGUGUUUAUACUUAAUAAGUUAAAACUUUCAACAACGGAUCUCUUGGUUCUGGCAUCGAUGAAGAACGCAGCGAAAUGCGAUAAGUAAUGUGAAUUGCAGAAUUCAGUGAAUCAUCGAAUCUUUGAACGCACAUUGCGCCCAUUAGUAUUCUAGUGGGCAUGCCUGUUCGAGCGUCAUUUCAACCCUCAAGCCCUAGCUGCUUGGUGUUGGGAGCCUAUCUCCGGAUAACUCCUCAAAAGCAUUGGCGGAGUCGCGGUGACCCCAAGCGUAGUAAUUUUUCCUCGCUUUAGGUGUUCACGGCUGACGUCCUGCCGUUAAACCCCCAAUUUUUUAAUGGU